CUAUUGUAAGGUGAAUAUUUUGAGUUACAACGUAUAUAAUUUAAUGACAUCCAUUUUUUCAAAAGAUUAUGCAUUUAUCUUUCCAAUGAUGUAUGAUGAUAUAGUGGGUCAUAGCUUGAUCAUGGUAAAAAUUGAUAUCGAACUUCAACUAUUUUAUAUGUAAUAUAGAAGGAAAUUAAUUGCGCAUGCGUAACCUCUAAGCACAUCCGACCAAAUUAGUCGUCUGCCAGAAUUUUGCAUUUGACCAUCAAAAACUCUCUGUAUUGCAAAACAUAACUGCCAGAUGUCAUAUUGACCCAAAUUAGGGCUGUUUGCAAUUGGGCUGUUGCACUUGGGGUCAUAAGGGGGGUAAAUGCUGAAAAAUCACACCUAAACCUGUUCCGGAGACAUAUUCGACUACUUAAACACUCGGCGGUGUCGAAAUGGGUCUAUAGCUCUGCCUUAACUGUCGUUCAAGUGGUUUUCAAGUCCGGCUGAAGUGACAGGCCAUCAAAAACUGUACAGCAUGACUGAUUCGGAGACGACCCUCAACACUCGCCCAGUCGUGUCGAGAGGAUCGGUGUCUUUGCAGAAUUCACGGAAUUGAGCACCCGGGACAGACUGACACUUUCCGGAGCCUGUCCGAGACGGAACUCGAGCCGGGGAAUCAUAGGUCCAGGUGUGACAAAAGACUAAAAGCUCAUGUCUGACGAUGACUUUUUUAGUCAGGAAGUCAAGUGUGUUGUUUUUCCAUGAAAGCAAGCCCUUUUGUUGGGUCAAAUGACAUCAGAAUUGCUGCUUCUACAUGGAAUUUACCUAAAAUGUGCAAAAAAAAUAAAUAAAUAAAGUUUGUUCGAAUCCAGUUCAAAACCUGCUUUGAUGCACAAAUAUUGCCAUUUAUGAUUUUUUUCACUUAUUAAGUCAUAUGUUAGAUCAGCUUUGCCUAUUAGAAUCGAAAGUCAUGCCUUGUAUGGAGUCUAAGUGCUGCAUGUAUGAUGUAACCAAGUUUGGCUUUUCUACCUUAAUUCUUGACGCGAAACGCUGUUACGCAUGGCUCUUUCAACGGCAACUUUUAUGAAUUAAUCUGUGUGUUAUUGUACCGGAACUUUGUGAUCUUUCUCAAAACAGAUUAUACCUGUGGGAAAAGUGCCUUAAAUUUAAAUUUGAAGGGGUCGGGUUCUCUUAAAGGGGUUACGUAGAUGAGAAGCGCCUGUACAAACGAGUGCGGGGUGCACACUUAUAGGGGUAUAUUGCUUAUAAUACCCACGUAUGACUUGACCUUUGAAGCGUGUCUGAAGGUAACGCUUCAUUACUUCUAUAAUUCAUACGUCUACAUACACGCAACU